GUACACUCCUGCGGGAGGCAGCAGUGGGGAAUAUUGCACAAUGGGCGCAAGCCUGAUGCAGCCAUGCCGCGUGUAUGAAGAAGGCCUUCGGGUUGUAAAGUACUUUCAGCGGGGAGGAAGGCGAUAAGGUUAAUAACCUUGUUGAUUGACGUUACCCGCAGAAGAAGCACCGGCUAACUCCGUGCCAGCAGCCGCGGUAAUACGGAGGGUGCAAGCGUUAAUCGGAAUUACUGGGCGUAAAGCGCACGCAGGCGGUCUGUCAAGUCGGAUGUGAAAUCCCCGGGCUCAACCUGGGAACUGCAUUCGAAACUGGCAGGCUAGAGUCUUGUAGAGGGGGGUAGAAUUCCAGGUGUAGCGGUGAAAUGCGUAGAGAUCUGGAGGAAUACCGGUGGCGAAGGCGGCCCCCUGGACAAAGACUGACGCUCAGGUGCGAAAGCGUGGGGAGCAAACAGGAUUAGAUACCCUAGUAGUCCC
rnacentral:rRNA from 1 species